rnacentral:rRNA from 1 species
CCUACGGGAGGCUGCAGUGGGGAAUAUUGGACAAUGGGCGAAAGCCUGAUCCAGCAAUGCCGCGUGAGUGAUGAAGGCCUUAGGGUUGUAAAGCUCUUUUACCCGGGAAGAUAAUGACUGUACCGGGAGAAUAAGCCCCGGCUAACUCCGUGCCAGCAGCCGCGGUAAUACGGAGGGGGCUAGCGUUGUUCGGAAUUACUGGGCGUAAAGCGCCCGUAGGCGGCUUUGUAAGUUAGAGGUGAAAGCCUGGGGCGCAACUCCAGAAUGUCCUUUAAGACUGCAUCGCUUGAACGUCGGAGAGGUGAGUGGAAUUCCGAGUGUAGAGGUGAAAUUCGUAGAUAUUCGGAAGAACACCAGUGGCGAAGGCGGCUCACUGGACGACUGUUGACGCUGAGGUGCGAAAGCGUGGGGAGCAAACAGGAUUAGAUACCCCAGUAGUCC